rnacentral:tRNA from 1 species
UCCCAAGUGGACUAGUGGUUAAGAAUCGUGGCUCUCACCCACGCGGCCCGAUUUCAAUUCCCGGCUUGGGAA